rnacentral:lncRNA from 1 species
AGAGUCGUCGGGGGUGGCUGUUGCAAAGGCAGAGAGUGAGAAGUGAUGACGGUGAUCGUUGUCGCCGCGUCUUCUGUGGAACCCAAGCAGUGCCGAAGGAAGUCGCAAGGCUCUUCCCCGACCUUUUGCUCCUCUCCCUGCGCGAGAGAUCUAGGCUUACAUUGCUGUUAAGCCUCCAACAGCGGCAGCCAGAUGGUGCAGUGUUUUUGAAACAGGCUCUGAUAAAUCCACAAAGAGAUGCUGAGAUCCAAAGUCCAGGUCUCUGCUGCAGCAGUACUCUGAUACACUGAACUCUGAUACAGCACUACUCUGAUACACUGAACUCUGAUACAGCAGUACUCGGAUACACUGAACUCUGAUACAGCAGUACUCGGAUACACUGAACUCUGAUACAGCACUACUCUGAUACACUGAACUCUGAUACAGCAGUACUCUGAUACACUGAACUCUGAUACAGCAGUACUCGGAUACACUGAACUCUGAUACAGCAGUACUCGGAUACACUGAACUCUGAUACAGCAGUACUCGGAUACACUGAACUCUGAUACAGCAGUACUCUGAUACACCGAACUCUGAUACAGCAGUACUCUGAUACACUGAACUCUGAUACAGCAGUACUCUGAUACACCGAACUCUGAUACAGCAGUACUCGGAUACACUGAACUCUGAUACAGCAGUACUCUGAUACACCGAACUCUGAUACAGCAGUACUCGGAUACACUGAACUCUGAUACAGCAGUACUCUGAUACACUGAACUCUGAUACAGCAGUACUCUGAUACACUGAACUCUGAUACAGCAGUACUCGGAUACACUGAACUCUGAUACAGCAGUACUCGGAUACACUGAACUCUGAUACAGCAGUACUCGGAUACACUGAACUCUGAUACAGCAGUACUCUGAUACACUGAACUCUGAUACAGCAGUACUCUGAUACACUGAACUCUGAUACAGCAGUACUCGGAUACACUGAACUCUGAUACAGCAGUACUCGGAUACACUGAACUCUGAUACAGCAGUACUCGGAUACACUGAACUCUGAUACAGCAGUACUCGGAUACACUGAACUCUGAUACAGCAGUACUCGGAUACACUGAACUCUGAUACAGCAGUACUCGGAUACACUGAACUCUGAUACAGCAGUACUCGGAUACACUGAACUCUGAUACAGCAGUACUCUGAUACACUGAACUCUGAUACAGUUCUUCAGUACAGAGCCAUCUCUAGCCUCUCUGACUUGGUUGUCUGUGUCUGCAGGACCUCAGAUUGUACCUGCCCCCCAGCCUUGAGCAGCCCACCUAGAGGGUGGAGUCUUCUGACCUUGGUGGAGUCUAUUGUAUGCCGCAUCUGCAGCUUCCUGUAAGAAGCCACUACUUGCUGAGCAGCUGAGUUUUCCUUCCAGAUGAGAUUCUGGCAAAGUAGGGGAUAGGCUCCCCACCCCCGCCCUUUAAAUUCAGACCUUAGAAUUAAAACAUUGAGCCUUGAUCAGAGAA